UACAGAGACUGCAAGCGUUAUUCGGAUUCACUGGGCGUAAAGGGUGCGCAGGUGGCCGUGUGUGUCAGAUGUGAAAUCCCGGGGCUAACUCCGGAACUGCGUCUGAAACUACACGGCUAGAGCAUUGGAGAGGGUAGUGGAAUUCAACGGUGUAGCAGUGAAAUGCGUAGAUAUCGUGAGGAACACCAGAGGCGAAGGCGACUACCUGGACAAUAGCUGACACUCAGGCACGAAAGCGUGGGGAGCCAAAGGG
rnacentral:rRNA from 1 species